rnacentral:tRNA from 1 species
GGGAAUAUAGUUUAAUGGUACAGUGCUUGCCUAGCAUGCAUGAGGCCCUGAGUUCAAUUCCUCAGUACCA